UGCUUUUGCUCAUGGUUCCACUCUGCCUA
rnacentral:piRNA from 1 species